GAUCCUGGCUCAGAACGAACGCUGGCGGCAGGCUUAACACAUGCAAGUUGAACGGGAUUUGUAUGGUGCUUGCACCAUGUAAUGAGAGUAGCGCACUGGUGAGUAACACGUGGGAACAUACCUUGAAGUGGGGGACAACAGUUGGAAACGACUGCUAAUACCGCAUAAUCCCCUGAGGGGGGUAAAGAUUUUAUCGCUUUAAGAUUGGCCCGCGGAAGAUUAGGUAGUUGGUGGGGUAAAGGCCUACCAAGCCGACGA
rnacentral:rRNA from 1 species